rnacentral:rRNA from 1 species
ACGCGAAGAACCUUACCUACUCUUGACAUCCACGGAAUUUGGCAGAGAUGCCUUAGUGCCUUCGGGAACUGUGAGACAGGUGCUGCAUGGCUGUCGUCAGCUCGUGUUGUGAAAUGUUGGGUUAAGUCCCGCAACGAGCGCAACCCUUAUCCUUUGUUGCCAGCGAUUAGGUCGGGAACUCAAAGGAGACUGCCAGUGAUAAACUGGAGGAAGGUGGGGAUGACGUCAAGUCAUCAUGGCCCUUACGAGUAGGGCUACACACGUGCUACAAUGGCAUAUACAAAGAGAAGCGACCUCGCGAGAGCAAGCGGACCUCAUAAAGUAUGUCGUAGUCCGGAUUGGAGUCUGCAACUCGACUCC